rnacentral:rRNA from 1 species
GACAGAGGGGGCAAGCGUUGCUCGGAAUCACUGGGCGUAAAGGGCGCGUAGGCGGGAUGGCAAGUCGGUCGUGAAAUCCUUCGGCUCAACCGAAGAACGUCGGCCGAUACUGCCGUUCUUGAGGGAUGCAGAGGAGAUUGGAAUUCCCGGUGUAGCGGUGAAAUGUGUAGAGAUCGGGAGGAACACCGGUGGCGAAGGCGGCUCACUGGCCCGAUACUGACGCUGAGGCACGAAAGCGUGGGGAGCAAACAGG